rnacentral:rRNA from 1 species
CCUACGGCGGGCUGCAGUGGGGAAUAUUGGACAAUGGGCGAAAGCCUGAUCCAGCCAUGCCGCGUGUGUGAAGAAGGCCUUCGGGUUGUAAAGCACUUUCAGUGGGGAAGAAAGCCUUGGGGCUAAUACCCUCGAGGAAGGACAUCACCCACAGAAGAAGCACCGGCUAACUCCGUGCCAGCAGCCGCGGUAAUACGGAGGGUGCGAGCGUUAAUCGGAAUUACUGGGCGUAAAGCGCGCGUAGGCGGUCUGAUAAGCCGGUUGUGAAAGCCCCGGGCUCAACCUGGGAACGGCAUCCGGAACUGUCAGGCUAGAGUGCAGGAGAGGAAGGUAGAAUUCCCGGUGUAGCGGUGAAAUGCGUAGAGAUCGGGAGGAAUACCAGUGGCGAAGGCGGCCUUCUGGACUGACACUGACGCUGAGGUGCGAAAGCGUGGGUAGCAAACAGGAUUAGAUACCCCGGUAGUC